rnacentral:rRNA from 1 species
GCCAUGCAUGUGUAAGUAUAAAGACCAAAAAGGAUGAAACUGCGGACGGCUCAUUAGAACAGUUAUAAUUUCUUUGAUUAGUACGAUACACGGAAUAGCUUUGUGAAUAAUAAAGAUAAUACUUGAGACAAUCCCAGUUGUUUGUACAAGUGGGCGCAUUCCCGAGGAAUGCAGAAAAGAAGUUUAUUAAUAAAAAGAACAAAUUUACAAUUGUAGAAAUUCGAGGAAUUUGACAAGGAAUCAAUGAGAAUAUCUGAUCUAUCAACUAGUUGGUAGUAUAGAGGACUACCAAGGUUAUAACGGAUAACGAGAAAUUAGGGUUUGACAUCGGAGAAGGAGCUUUCAAAAUGGCUACUACUUCUAAGGAAGGCAGCAGGCGCGUAAAUUACCCACUUUUAACAGAAAGAGGUAGUGACGACAAAUAACUCUAUUUUUGCUAUAAAACAAAAAUUGAAGGGAUGAAUAGAACGUAAAUAGUUAUAUGAAAGCAAUUGGAGGGCAAGUCUGGUGCCAGCAGCCGCGGUAAUUCCAGCUCCAAUAGUAUAUAUUAAAGUUGUUGUGAUUAAAAGGCUCGUAGUUGAAUGAUAAUGUAUUGGAAAGGGAUUUUUCAUAAGAAAAAUCUCAACGAAGACAAUAGAGAAGGAAUGAAUUACUUUGAAUAAAAUAGAGUGUUUAAAGCAAAACAAUGUUAAUGAAUAAUGAAGCAUGGGACAAUAAGAAGGAGAUUGAAUAAUUUCGAGAAAAAGAUUAAAAGGAAUAAUUGGGGUAAUUUAGAAAAAGAUGGGAGAGGUGAAAAUCCAUGAUCAUCUUUAGAUAAACGAGAGCGAAAGCAUUUUACUCAAUUAUCUUCAUUAAUCAAGAACGAAAGUUAGGGGAACGAAGACGAUCAGAUACCGUCGUAGUCCUAACUAUAAACGAUGUUAACCAAGGAUUGGAUAUAUAUUCAUAAUUUCUUAGUUACAUAAGUAACGUGUUACUUUGUGACAUAAGAAAUUAAUACAUAAUACUUUAUUCAGAACUUGAAGAGAAAUCUUGAGUGUAUGAACUUCAGGGGGAGUAUGGUCACAAGGCUGAAACUUAAAGGAAUUGACGGAAGGGCACACCAGGAGUGGAGCCUGCGGCUUAAUUUGACUCAACACGGGAAAACUUACCAAGACCGAACAUACUAAGGAAUGACAGAUUAAAGGAUUUUUCAUGAUUGUAUGGGGAGUGGUGCAUGGCCGUUCUUAGUUGGUGGAAUGAUUUGUCAGGUUAAUUCCGGUAACGAACGAGACUUAAACCUAUUAAUUAGUUACAUUUGAUGUAAAUAAAAUGUAUAUAUAGAAAUAUAUAAUUAUUAGUAAUUAAUAAUACUACUUAAAGGGACAACUAUCAAUCUCUUUUCUCUCUUUUAGAUAAUAAUUUGUGUUAUUUGAAUAAUAGAAAUUAUGUAAAAGAGAGAAAAGAAAAGAUAAAGGAAGCGUUAAGCAAUAACAGGUCUGUGAUGCCCUUAGACAUCUUGGGCUGCACGCGCGCUACAAUGAAAAUACUAAAGAGUAGUACUUUAAUAAUGGAAAUUUUUAUUAUUUUAUAACAUUAUAGAAUAAUAAAAAUGACAUUAUUUUAACAAAUUUGAAAAAAUAAGUAAAACUCAAAAAAUUAUACAUGACAGGGAUUAAUAAUUGAAAUUAUUUGUUAUGAACGAGGAAUUCCUUGUAAAAUUAUGUCAUUAACAUAAGUUGAAUACGUCCCUGCCCUUUGUACACACCGCCCGUCGCUCCUACCGAUUGAAUAAAGAGGUGAAAUUCUAGGAUUGUUUAAGAAAUUAAAUCAAAAAUAGAUGUGAACCUCCUUAUUUAGAGGAAGGAGAAGUCGUAACAAGGUUUCCGUAGGUGAACCUGCGGAAGGAUCAUUACUAAAAACAAUUUGAAUUGUUUUUUGCGGAAGAAUAUAUGAAUUUUAAUAGAAAUUGGGUGUUUUAUAUUUUGAGAAUACAAAUUUUGGUAUAAAUGGAGUAAUUAGAGAAUUUGGAUGUAAAAGUAGAAAAAAGAUAUCAUUGCGGAUAGUUUAGUUUCCCACACGAUGAAGAACGUAAUGAAUUGCGAUAAUUCCUUUGAACGAUAUAACGAGAAAAGGAAAUAUUUGAAUGCAUGAAAGUAUUUAAUUAGCUUUAAUUAAAUAUAAAAAUUUCAACAUCCUCUUUUUAAAAUAAAAUAGAUUAUAAGAGAUCAAUUACAGUAAUUGAUUCCUAUAAUUCAUUAUUAAUGAGUAAAAAAAACAUAUGUAAUGAAUGUUUAAAAAAGAUUGAAAUUUUUAAGAUGACUCUCUUAACUUAAGCAUAUCAAUAAGACAUGGCACUC